AAUAGAUACCCGGGUAGUCCACGCCGUAAACGAUGAGUGCUAGGUGUUGGGGGCAUCACGUCCUCAGUGCCGAAGGAAACCCAAUAAGCACUCCGCCUGGGGAGUACGGCCGCAAGGCUGAAACUCAAAGGAAUUGACGGGGGCCCGCACAAGCGGUGGAGCAUGUGGUUUAAUUCGAAGCAACGCGAAGAACCUUACCAAGGCUUGACAUCCCAUUGACCGCACUAGAGAUAGUGCUUCCCUUCGGGGCAAUGGUGACAGGUGGUGCAUGGUUGUCGUCAGCUCGUGUCGUGAGAUGUUGGGUUCAGUCCCGCAACGAGCGCAACCCUUAUCCUUAGUUGCCAGCAGGUAAAGCUGGGCUCUCUAAGGAGACAGCCGGUGAAAGCCGGAGGAAGGUGGGGAUGACGUCAAAUCAUCAUGCCCCUUACGUCUUGGGCUACACACGUGCUACAAUGGAUGGUACAAAGGGCAGCAAAACCGCGAGGUCGAGCAAAUCCCAUAAAGCCAUUCUCAGUUCGGA
rnacentral:rRNA from 1 species